UACGUAGGGCGCAAGCGUUAUCCGGAAUUAUUGGGCGUAAAGAGCUCGUAGGCGGUUUGUUGCGUCUGCCGUGAAAGUCCGGGGCUCAACUCCGGAUCUGCGGUGGGUACGGGCAGACUAGAGUGAUGUAGGGGAGACUGGAAUUCCUGGUGUAGCGGUGAAAUGCGCAGAUAUCAGGAGGAACACCGAUGGCGAAGGCAGGUCUCUGGGCAUUAACUGACGCUGAGGAGCGAAGGCUAGGGGAGCGAACGGG
rnacentral:rRNA from 1 species